GCACUGGACAGUGAGAAAGAACAAUUGGGAGAUUAGAGGAAAAUUGGGAGAUUGAACACUAAUUGUUUAAAGCAAACAUGAUUUGUUACACAAAAUGAAAUGUGUAUCAGAGUCUACAAGUACUUUACAAAUAAUGACAAUUCAAUCCUUGAAAUAACAGUUUGGAAUUAGUUUUGUUAUAUCUUUUUGUAAAUUAGAAAACUGAGAAAGACAGCUUGCUUGUGGUCAUACAUGAGUACAUUAUGAACUGAGAUGUGACUUUAAGCAGUCCAGCUCCAUCACUGUACAAGUGCUUAACUGCUAUGAUAUGCUACAUCUCCUGAUAAAUAGAUGCUCACAUAAGAGCCAUGGAAAGUUGGAUCAAUUGUCUCCAUUUUACAAAAAGGGCACUUGUCCUAGAGAAAUUAAGUAAUUUAGCAAGAGUCUUAUAACUGCUAGGUAUUUGAGUCAAAAUUUGAACCCUUAACUCCAAAGCCUCUUUUUACUAGAUUGUACUGCUGGUUAUUUCUCUCAAUAUAGACACAUUUGAGUGUGUAAAAUUUAAUUUUACUCAUAAAUAAUAAUUCUAAAUAAUUAAAUGUAUAGUAAAAGAGCCUAAAUUGAAUCUUUUCUCAAAAUCAAGUGUUCUCAAUAACUCAAAGUUUUCAGUAAUAAUGUAAGUUUAAUCCAGGCUCUCUGUACACUCUAAAAACACAGGUGUAAUAGUGCAAUGUGUUUUAAUUGACUGAUGCUAUUUUCAAGGCUAAUUAUACUGGACAUGCCACCAUAAUAUUUCAUGAUCAUAGAGAAAUAAAAAAGAACCCCACCAGUACAGAAAGUUAGUCAAAAGCCCUUAUUCAUCUUAUUUAUUUUCUAUAAAACUAAUAACUACCCCAGCGGAUUGUCAUGGUUUAAUGGGCUAAAACUAGAUAUGAAACUUUUAUUGC
rnacentral:lncRNA from 1 species